rnacentral:rRNA from 1 species
UACGUAGGUGGCAAGCGUUGUCCGGAUUUACUGGGCGUAAAGAGCGCGCAGGCGGUCGUUUAAGUCGAAUGUGAAAGCCCCCGGCUCAACUGGGGAGGGUCAUUCGAUACUGAUCGACUCGAAGGCAGGAGAGAGAAGUGGAAUUCCCGGUGUAGUGGUGAAAUGCGUAGAUAUCGGGAGGAACACCAGUGGCGAAGGCGGUUCUCUGGGCAUGGUCCUGACGGCUGAGGAGCGA